rnacentral:rRNA from 1 species
UCAGAUGAAACGCUGGCGGAAUGCUUUACACAUGCAAGUCGAGCGGCAGCGCGGGGCAACCUGGCGGCGAGCGGCGAACGGGUGAGUAAUGUAUCGGAACGUGCCCAGUCGUGGGGGAUAACACAGCGAAAGUUGUGCUAAUACCGCAUACGACCUGAGGGUGAAAGGGGGGGAUCGCAAGACCUCUCGCGAUUGGAGCGGCCGAUAUCGGAUUAGCUAGUUGGUGAGGUAAAGGCUCACCAAGGCGACGAUCCGUAGCGGGUCUGAGAGGACGACCCGCCACACUGGAACUGAGACACGGUCCAGACUCCUACGGGAGGCAGCAGUGGGGAAUUUUGGACAAUGGGCGCAAGCCUGAUCCAGCCAUUCCGCGUGAGUGAAGAAGGCCUUCGGGUUGUAAAGCUCCUUCGGCAGGAACGAAACGGCUUCUCCUAAUACGAGAGGCUAAUGACGGUACCUGAAGAAGAAGCACCGGCUAACUACGUGCCAGCAGCCGCGGUAAUACGUAGGGUGCGAGCGUUAAUCGGAAUUAUUGGGCGUAAAGCGUGCGCAGGCGGUUCUAUAAGACAGAUGUGAAAUCCCCGGGCUUAACCUGGGAACUGCGUUUGUGACUGUAGGACUUGAGUGUGGCAGAGGGGGGUGGAAUUCCACGUGUAGCAGUGAAAUGCGUAGAUAUGUGGAGGAACAUCGAUGGCGAAGGCAGCCCCCUGGGUUAACACUGACGCUCAUGCACGAAAGCGUGGGGAGCAAACAGGAUUAGAUACCCUGGUAGUCCACGCCCUAAACGAUGCGAACUAGGUGUUGGGGAAGGAGACUUCCUUAGUACCGCAGCUAACGCGUGAAGUUCGCCGCCUGGGGAGUACGGUCGCAGAUUAAAACUC